rnacentral:tRNA from 1 species
UGGGCAGUAGCUCAGUGGCAAAGCUCCCUUUCCGCAUGCGGAAAGACCUGGGUUCGAAUCCUGGCUGCUUAC